rnacentral:lncRNA from 1 species
UUCUCGGCGGCCCAGGGUUCACUGGUUCGGAUCCCGGGUGGGGACAUGGCAGUGCUUGGCAGCCAUGCUGUGAAGGCACAUGGUUUUAGUGGCAAAAGCAGCUCCCUUAGAAGGACCCUGGACUGGAAACAGACGUCAGUUGAAAUUUUGUUCUGCUGCACUGAGACCUUGGGGAAGUUACUCAAGUCUCUCAGCUUCAGUCUUCUCAUAAGAAAAAUGCUGUGCUACUCCCCUCCGUGAAGAUUGUCCAAGCAGUAGAGAUUACAGAAGACAUUGAGCACAGAGUCCUUGCUGUGCUCUCGUUCCCUGUGGUUUUUCAGGCCUGUCACCUAACCUGAAGCUUCAUUAGCAAAAAUGCUUUGCGUCAGGUGACCUUGAAGCAAAAAUCAUGAUAAAAGGAGUGUCCCCUGAGGCAGAAAAACAAUCAAGAUUCAGAGAGGAGGAAGUAGAAUGAGAUUCUAACACCCCUCCCCUCUCCAAGGGAAAGACAGACUAUUUGGUCAUUUGGCCCGCGCCAUCCUGGGCAGAGCCUCGGAGAGAGGAACCUCAGAGAAUUUGCCCUCUGCUGACUGUGUUUUAAUCAGAGUUUCUGAUGAAGGAAGGGGGAGAAAUUGCAUUUCUAAUAAGUUUUGAGAUGACUUUUCAGAUAUGUCUAGGCAGAAGGGCAGCCUCACAGAGAAUUCUGCCACAUCACAGGGCGAGGAAGCCACAGACAUCCCGACCCUCAAUCCAGGCAGUUGCCAUGAUUGGAGGGGACAGGCCUGUCAGCGUCGAAACCAAAAGAUUGAAAACCUGACACCUGAAUGGAGGACAAAAAACAUCUUGGAAUCCUUGUGGGGACCAGUGACUCAAGGACCUGAUUUUUCCAGCUUCUCCUGUAUCUUCGCACUUCAGAAAUUCCCUACCCAAGACACAGCCCCGAGGAAGGGGGAGGGCCUCCGCUGAUAAGAUUAUUGUCACUGCAGCUGAGUGGGGGCUUACACAGAAAUAAAUCUCAGUUACAGAAAAAAAAUUCC